GGGCGUGUGGCUCAGUGGUAGAGCGUCCGCUUUGCAUCAGCUCAUUGUUGCGUGUCUGCGGAAGGCCCUGGUUUCGAUCACCAGCCCGUCCA
rfam:Baudoinia panamericana TAMH 10762 unplaced genomic scaffold BATCOscaffold_12, whole genome shotgun sequence.